rnacentral:rRNA from 1 species
CACGGGUGAGUAACACGUAUCCAACCUGCCUCAUACUCGGGGAUAGCCUUUCGAAAGAAAGAUUAAUACCCGAUGUCAUAGUCCUACCGCAUGAUGGGAUUAUUAAAGAAUUUCGGUAUGGGAUGGGGAUGCGUUCCAUUAGUUAGUUGGCGGGGUAACGGCCCACCAAGACAACGAUGGAUAGGGGUUCUGAGAGGAAGGUCCCCCACAUUGGAACUGAGACACGGUCCAAACUCCUACGGGAGGCAGCAGUGAGGAAUAUUGGUCAAUGGACGAGAGUCUGAACCAGCCAAGUAGCGUGAAGGAUGACUGCCCUAUGGGUUGUAAACUUCUUUUAUAUGGGAAUAAAAUGUUCCACGUGUGGGAUUUUGUAUGUACCAUAUGAAUAAGGAUCGGCUAACUCCGUGCCAGCAGCCGCGGUAAUACGGAGGAUCCGAGCGUUAUCCGGAUUUAUUGGGUUUAAAGGGAGCGUAGGUGGAUUGUUAAGUCAGUUGUGAAAGUUUGCGGCUCAACCGUAAAAUUGCAGUUGAAACUGGCAGUCUUGAGUACAGUAGAGGUGGGCGGAAUUCGUGGUGUAGCGGUGAAAUGCUUAGAUAUCACGAAGAACCCCGAUUGCGAAGGCAGCAUACCGGUGCACAACUGACGCUCAGGCACGAAAGCGUGGGUAGCAAACAGGAUUAGAUACCCUGGUAGU